rnacentral:lncRNA from 1 species
UGAGAAUGAAUGAAUUACAACUAUAUACAACAACACAAAUAGAUCCAUUAGGUAUCUGUUGAUGGUAACACAUCACCUCAAAAUUGAGGCAAAAAUUAACACCCAUUUCUGAUCUCUACUGCUGUGGGACAGAGAUUUGGGCACAGCUGAGCUGGGCUUUCUGCUUCAUGGUCUUUUACAGGCUUCAGUGAAGGUGUUGGUGGGCCAACAUCAUAUGAAGGUUCAACUUGGGAAAGCUCUAUUGGCCCCCCUAUUUUCCUUGGCUUGUGGCCCCCCCGUCCGUGUUCAAAGCUCAUCGUUUCAGUCUCUGAUUCUGUCAUCAUGUUGCCUUCUCCUCCAACUCUGACUCCCCCUGCAUCCCUUUCCGGAGGACUGGUGAUUACUUCAGGUCCGCGAAGAUAAUCCAAGGUAAUAUCCUCUUUUUUUAAGAUUAAUCUCUUAACGUUAAGAUCCUUAAUUUAUUCAUGUCUGCAAAGCAGAUUUCGCUCUAUCAGGUAACAUUCUCCAGUUCCUGGGAUUAUGAUGUGGACGUCGAGGGGACUAUUACUCAAUAGCAAGCCAUGGAAAGUAGUUAAUAGUGUUAUAUUUAUUCAGUGG